rnacentral:rRNA from 1 species
CAAAUGACUCUCGGCAAUGGAUAUCUCGGCUCUUGCAUCGAUGAAGAACGUAGUGAAAUGCGRUACUUGGUGUGAAUUGCAGAAUCUCGCGAACCAUUGAGUCUUUGAACGCAAGUUGURCCCGAGGCCUUGUGGUCGAGGGCACGCCUGCUUGGGUGUCAUGAC